rnacentral:rRNA from 1 species
GAUGAACGCUGGCGGCGUGCUUAACACAUGCAAGUCGAACGAAGCAUUUGCGACAGAUUUUUUCGGAAUGAAGUUGCUUAUGACUGAGUGGCGGACGGGUGAGUAACGCGUGGGUAACCUGCCUUGUACUGGGGGAUAGCAGCUGGAAACGGCUGGUAAUACCGCAUAAGCGCACAAUGUUGCAUGACAUGGUGUGAAAAACUCCGGUGGUAUAAGAUGGACCCGCGUCUGAUUAGCUAGUUGGGGUGAGAACAGCCCACCAAGGCGACGACGAGUAGCCGACCUGUGAGGCUGGCCGGAGACACUGGGACUAAGACGCAGCCCAGACUCUUACGCGAUGGAGGAGUGGGUAAUAUUGCAAAACGGAGUGAAUGAUGAUGCUCUGCGGAUCGUAGAGUGAAGUAGUAAGUCGUGAAGUAAAGCGCUAUUAGCAAGGAACAUAGUGACGGUACCUGACUAGGAAGCCCCGGCUAAAUACGUG